GAUGAACGCUGGCGGCGUGCCUAAUACAUGCAAGUCGAGCGAACAGACGAGGAGCUCGCUCCUCUGACGUUAGCGGCGGACGGGUGAGUAACACGUGGAUAACCUACCUAUAAGACUGGGAUAACUUCGGGAAACCGGAGCUAAUACCGGAUAAUAUAUUGAACCGCAUGGUUCAAUAGUGAAAGACGGUUUUGCUGUCACUUAUAGAUGGAUCCGCGCCGCAUUAGCUAGUUGGUAAGGUAACGGCUUACCAAGGCAACGAUGCGUAGCCGACCUGAGAGGGUGAUCGGCCACACUGGAACUGAGACACGGUCCAGACUCCUACGGGAGGCAGCAGUAGGGAAUCUUCCGCAAUGGGCGAAAGCCUGACGGAGCAACGCCGCGUGAGUGAUGAAGGUCUUCGGAUCGUAAAACUUUGUUAUUAGGGAAGAACAAAUGUGUAAGUAACUAUGCACGUCUUGACGGUACCUAGUCAGAAAGCCACGGCUAACUACGUG
rnacentral:rRNA from 1 species